CCACCAGAUGAGAUGCCAGUGCCAUUAGUUUUGAACUUGUUCAGGUAUUCGACUGAAAGGAGAGGAAGGUGUUCGCCUCGGAAAUAGAAGAAUAUUCAAGAAAAGCCGUCUCUCUCUCAGAUGGGAGUCAUGAAGAACGCCACGCCUUUCGGGAAAAAACAUGCCUACCUCCACUCCCUCAUCGGCUUGAGUCUAAACAGAGAUUUUCAAUUCUGAGAAAACAUCCCCGGACCCAGUGACGGAAGG
rnacentral:lncRNA from 1 species